UGUAUCUGAAGCCUUACGAGGUUGAGAACCUCCGGGGGCAUGAGGUUCGACCGGAGCGAAGGUAGAGUACGUUGCGUCUGCAACGGCCCGCAGGGCGAGC
rnacentral:sRNA from 1 species